rnacentral:rRNA from 1 species
GUCGAGCGGAAACAUUUCUAGCUUGCUAGAAGAUGACGAGCGGCGGACGGGUGAGUAACACUUAGGAAUCUACCUAGUAGUGGGGGAUAGCUCGGGGAAACUCGAAUUAAUACCGCAUACGACCUACGGGAGAAAGGGGGCAACUUGUUGCUCUCGCUAUUAAAUGAGCCUAAGUCGGAUUAGCUAGUUGGUGGGGUAAAGGCCUACCAAGGCGACGAUCUGUAGCUGGUCUGAGAGGAUGAUCAGCCACACCGGGACUGAAACACGGCCCGGACUCCUACGGGAGGCAGCAGUGGGGAAUAUUGGACAAUGGGGGCAACCCUGAUCCAGCCAUGCCGCGUGUGUGAAGAAGGCCUUUUGGUUGUAAAGCACUUUAAGCAGUGAAGAAGACCUAACGGUUAAUACCCGUUAGCGAUGACAUUAGCUGCAGAAUAAGCACCGGGUAACUCUGUGCCAACAGCCGCGGUAAUACAGAGGGUGCAAGCGUUAAUCGGAAUUACUGGGCGUAAAGCGAGCGUAGGUGGCUUGAUAAGUCAGAUGUGAAAUCCCCGGGCUUAACCUGGGAACUGCAUCUGAUACUGUUAGGCUAGAAUAGGUGAGAGGAAGGUAGAAUUCCAGGUGUAGCGAUGAAAUGCGUAGAGAUCUGGAGGAAUACCGAUGGGGAAGGCAGCCUUCUGGCAUCAUAUUGACACUGAGUUUCGAAAGCG